rnacentral:tRNA from 1 species
GUAAAUAUAGUUUAACAAAAACAUUAGAUUGUGAAUCUAACAAUAAAAGCUGAGACCUUUUUAUUUACC